GACGUAGGGCGCGAGCGUUGUCCGGAUUUAUUGGGCGUAAAGAGCUCGUAGGCGGCUUGUCGCGUCGACUGUGAAAACCCGCGGCUCAACCGCGGGCCUGCAGCCGAUACGGGCAGGCUAGAGUUCGGUAGGGGAGACUGGAAUUCCUGGUGUAGCGGUGAAAUGCGCAGAUAUCAGGAAGAACACCAAUGGCGAAGGCAGCUCUCUGGGACGGUACUGACACUGAGACGCGAAAGCGUGGGGAGCGAACAGG
rnacentral:rRNA from 1 species